rnacentral:rRNA from 1 species
CCAGAGAUGGAUUGGUGCCUUCGGGAACUGUGAGACAGGUGCUGCAUGGCUGUCGUCAGCUCGUGUUGUGAAAUGUUGGGUUAAGUCCCGCAACGAGCGCAACCCUUAUCCUUUGUUGCCAGCGGUUCGGCCGGGAACUCAAAGGAGACUGCCAGUGAUAAACUGGAGGAAGGUGGGGAUGACGUCAAGUCAUCAUGGCCCUUACGACCAGGGCUACACACGUGCUACAAUGGCAUAUACAAAGAGAAGCGACC